CAAUCGAACUGCAUAUUUCGUGGUUUUUGAACACUGGGGAGGAGAACAGUGCAGCGUUGUGACGGAAGAAGCGAAUGAAGGCUCAGAACUCCAGUAACUGCUGCUGAGCUGUGUGGGAUGUGUAAAGAUUGCUUCUGGACCUGGAGCAAAGAUGUCAGAAAUAAUAACUUACAUGAAAAAGAUGUUUACAUGAGAAAGCUUGACAAGAGCCACGCUUUUAAAGAGUCUAAUUCAUUGCAACUAGGACCACAAGGACACGGAAAGCUGAUGACUCCAAUACUAGAAGUCACUUUCUUGCAGAAGAGUUACAGCACCCGGCCCCGGCUGCUCCUGGUACGCUCCUGGUACCCCCGAGGUGAGGGAAAUCUGAGGAUGAUGCUGACAAUGGGAUGGGAACAGAGGCAAGAAAUUCACAGAGAAACGAAGCCAGAGCCCUGAUGCUGCCCAGUCUCUGCACUUCUCAGUUAGUGCAGCCAAUACAUUCCUGCUACUUUAUGGCAACUGAAAGCACAGUGCAUCAGGAGCCUCCCCAGAUGCAAAGCGCUCAUAACCCAGCUCUUCAGCAGCUUUAUAGACGAGGUUUAAAAAAACCCCACAAACAGAACCCUGGGCUUCCCCGGUAGCUCAGUGGUAAAGCACCAGCCUGCCAGUGUAAGAGACUGGGGUGUGAUCCCUGAUCUGGGAAGACCCCACACGCCGCGGAGCAACUAUGCUUGUGCGCCACGAGUACUGAGCCUGCGCUCUGGAGCCCAGGAGCCACGACUGCGGAGCCCACACCCCUCAGCUGCUGCAGCCUGCGUGCCCAGAGCCCCUGCAGCACGAGAAGCCACCACCGCGAGCAACCCACGCUCCGCACCUAGAG